UGCAAGUCGAGCGAGGCCUGCUCCUUCGGGAGCGGUGUCCUAGCGGCGAACGGGUGAGUAACACGUGGGCAAUCUGCCCCUAGCACUGGGAUAACCCCGGGAAACCGGGGCUAAUACCGGAUACGACUCCAGUCGGCAUCUUCUGGAGUGGAAAAGGUUUACUGGCUAGGGAUGAGCCCGCGGCCUAUCAGCUUGUUGGUGGGGUAAUGGCCUACCAAGGCGACGACGGGUAGCCGGCCUGAGAGGGCGACCGGCCACACUGGGACUGAGACACGGCCCAGACUCCUACGGGAGGCAGCAGUGGGGAAUAUUGCACAAUGGGCGAAAGCCUGAUGCAGCGACGCCGCGUGAGGGAUGACGGCCUUCGGGUUGUAAACCUCUUUCAGCUCCGACGAAGCGAAAGUGACGGUAGGAGCAGAAGAAGCACCGGCCAACUACGUGCCAGCAGCCGCGGUAAUACGUAGGGUGCAAGCGUUGUCCGGAAUUAUUGGGCGUAAAGAGCUCGUAGGCGGCUUGUCGCGUCGGCUGUGAAAACCUGGGGCUCAACUCCGGGCCUGCAGCCGAUACGGGCAAGCUAGAAUUCGGUAGGGGAGACUGGAAUUCCUGGUGUAGCGGUGAAAUGCGCAGAUAUCAGGAGGAACACCGGUGGCGAAGGCGGGUCUCUGGGCCGAUAUUGACGCUGAGGAGCGAAAGCGUGGGGAGCGAACAGGAUUAGAUACCCUGGUAGUCCACGCCGUAAACGUUGGGCGCUAGGUGUGGGCCACAUUCCACGUGGUCUGUGCCGCAGCUAACGCAU
rnacentral:rRNA from 1 species